rnacentral:rRNA from 1 species
UACGAAGGGGGCUAGCGUUGCUCGGAAUCACUGGGCGUAAAGCGCACGUAGGCGGCUUCUUAAGUCAGGGGUGAAAUCCUGGAGCUCAACUCCAGAACUGCCCUUGAUACUGAGGAGCUCGAGUCCGGAAGAGGUGAGUGGAACUGCGAGUGUAGAGGUGAAAUUCGUAGAUAUUCGCAAGAACACCAGUGGCGAAGGCGGCUCACUGGUCCGGUACUGACGCUGAGACGCGAAAGCGUGGGGAGCGAACAGGA